rnacentral:rRNA from 1 species
GCAUAUCAAUAAGCGGAGGAAAAGAAACCAACCGGGAUUGCCCCAGUAACGGCGAGUGAAGCGGCAAAAGCUCAAAUUUGGAAUCCUGCGGGAGUUGUAAUUUGAAGCCCGCGAGGCGGCAGCGCGGCGGCGUGCAAGUCCAUUGGAACAUGGCGCCAAGGAGGGUGAGAGCCCCGUGGCACGGCGGCAGCGCGGCCAGUCAGCUUCGCAGGCAAAGAGUCGAGUUGUUUGGGAAUGCAGCUCCAAGGGGGUGGUAAAUUCCAUCUAAAGCUAAAUACAGGCGAGAGACCGAUAGCGAACAAGUACAGUGAUGGAAAGAUGAAAAGCACUUUGAAAAGAGAGUGAAACAGUACGUGAAAUUGUUGGAAGGGAAGGGCUUGCAAGCAGACACAACCUCCGGGUUGGGCCAGCAUCGGGGCGGCGGAGCGCAAAACGGGCGGUGAAUGUGGCGCCACUCCUUUUGGGGUGGCGUGUUAGAGCGCCGCCAAAUGCGCUCACGGGGCCCCGAGGCCAGCGCGAAAUUCGCAAGGAUGCUGGCGUAAUGGUUGCAAGUCGCCCGUCUUGAAACCACGGACCAA